CCUACGGGUGGCUGCAGUGGGGGAUAUUGCACAAUGGAGGAAACUCUGAUGCAGCAACGCAGCGUGAGGGAAGAAGGUCUUCGGAUUGUAAACCUCUGUCCUCAGGGACGAUAAUGACGGUACCUGAGGAGGAAGCCCCGGCUAACUACGUGCCAGCAGCCGCGGUAAUACGUAGGGAGCAAGCGAUGUCCGGAUUUACUGGGUGUAAAGGGUGCGUAGGCGGCCCUGUAAGUCAGGUGUGAAAACUAUGGGCUUAACUAAUAGAUUGCACUUGAAAGUGUGGGGCUUGAGUGAAGUAGAGGCAGGCGGAAGUCCCGGUGUAGCGGUGAUAGGCGUAGAGAUCGGGAAGAACACCAGUGGCGAAGGCGGCCUGCUAAGUUUUAACUCACGCUGAGGAAUUAAAGCGUGGGUAGCAAACAUGAUUAGAUACCGCUGUAGUC
rnacentral:rRNA from 1 species